rnacentral:lncRNA from 1 species
CAACUACUACUUCAACUGAUAUAUAAAAUGGGCUGCAAUCAACUUUGAAGUAUCAGCAAGCCAACAAGCCAAAAUUAUACUGAAACAUCAACGCUCAAGAAAAACACUCUUGCUCUCUAAAGAUCUUCACGAAGCUUUUGCUUAUAACGUGAAAAACUCUUGUUCUUAAUACUGUAAUAUUUGCUUUCUUAGAAGCACUCUAGAUUACAUAAAUCUUUUAUCUAUUGUUU